rnacentral:rRNA from 1 species
GAUGAACGCUGACAGAAUGCUUAACACAUGCAAGUCUUUGGUGAAGCUGUGCUUGCACCGCCUAGCCAAGGCGGACGGGUGAGUAACGCGUAAGGAACUUGCCCUGCAGUCAGGGAUAACAGACGGAAACGACUGAUAAGACCUGGUAAAGUCAGGCGGACUCAUGUCCAGCCUGAUGAAAAGAGAUGCUGCAGGAGAGCCUUGCGUCCUAUUAGCUUGUUGGUGGGGUAACGGCCCACCAAGGCAAUGAUAGGUAGCCGGCCUGAGAGGGUGGACGGCCACAAGGGGACUGAGAUACGGCACUUACUCCUACGGGAGGCAGCAGUGGGGAAUAUUGGACAAUGGGGGCAACCCUGAUCCAGCAAUUCUGUGUGCACGAUGAAGGUUUUCGGAUUGUAAAGUGCUUUCAGCAGGGAAGAAAAAAAUGACGGUACCUGCAGAAGAAGCGACGGCUAAAUACGUG